AACGUAGGACGCAAGCGUUAUCCGGAGUUACUGGGCGUAAAGGGCAGGCAGGCGGGCCGACAAGUCGGAUGUGAAAUCUCCCUGGCUUAACCGGGAGAGUGCAUUUGAGACUGUCAACCUGGAGGGCAGCAGAGGAGCGUGGAAUUCCGGGUGGAGUGGUGAAAUGCGUAGAGAUCCGGAGGAACACCAGAGGCGAAAGCGGCGCUCUGGGCUGCGCCUGACGCUGAACUGCGAAAGCCAGGGGAGCGAACGGG
rnacentral:rRNA from 1 species